rnacentral:lncRNA from 1 species
AAUGUCCACUGAUUUCAUAUUAUACUCCUCAUGAGGAGGGAAGUAAGAAGCCCUUGAUGAAUCUAUUAUGCAACUGAACUCUAAUUACAUGAGAAAAAGUAUUAUUUGAAUCUUUGACCAACCCUUCAACAAAUAGUACCUUUCAAACAAUGGAUAAUAAUAAAGAUGGCAUCUCAUGAAAAGAUCAGGAAUAAGAGAAUGACAACAAAUCAAGACAAAGAAUAGUUGUCUCAGUUAAAAGAAAAAGUAACACAAAUAACCCAAAACGUUGGAGCUGGGCCUGUAGUCGUUUCUGUCUCCAGAGCAAGGAUCCAACUUCCCUGGCUGGUUCGUUUCCCAGGAUUCCCUUCCUCUCAAGACUCUAAAAGGGUUUACUCUUGCUUCUCCUGGUUCUCCUCUCAAGACUCUAAAAGGGUUUGCUCUUGCUUCUCCUGGUUCAACAGCAUUCCAUGUCACUAUGCUUGCAGUCUUGUUUCCUUUCCAAAAUGUCUCCUUCACAGUAAAGCAAGUUUUUGGAAUAAGAAUCCACCAUUUAGUAAAAGUUAUUGGGAAAACCAGAAAGCAAUUUGGCAGAAACUAGAUAUAGACCACUGUCUUAUACCAUUUACCAAGAUAGGUAUUGAAAUGGAUGUAUGACCUAGAGAUAUUAUAAACAAAUUGAGAAAAACAGGAUAUGCGUAAAAGAAGAAUUUAUGAAUAAACAAGAGAUAGAAAGCA